CGAGCGCGGGAAGCAAACUGAAUCCUUCGGGAGGACGUUUGUGGAACGAGCGGCGGACGGGUGAGUAACACGUGGGCAACCUGCCUGUAAGACUGGGAUAACUCCGGGAAACCGGGGCUAAUACCGGAUAACUCAUCGGAUCGCAUGAUCCGAGGUUGAAAGAUGGCUUCUUGCUAUCACUUACAGAUGGGCCCGCGGCGCAUUAGCUAGUUGGUGAGGUAACGGCUCACCAAGGCCACGAUGCGUAGCCGACCUGAGAGGGUGAUCGGCCACACUGGGACUGAGACACGGCCCAGACUCCUACGGGAGGCAGCAGUAGGGAAUCAUCCGCAAUGGACGAAAGUCUGACGGUGCAACGCCGCGUGAGUGAGGAAGGCCUUCGGGUCGUAAAACUCUGUUGUUAGGGAAGAACAAGUUCCGUUCGAAUAGGGCGGAGCCUUGACGGUACCUAACCAGAAAGCCACGGCUAACUACGUGCCAGCAGCCGCGGUAAUACGUAGGUGGCAAGCGUUGUCCGGAAUUAUUGGGCGUAAAGCGCGCGCAGGCGGUUCCUUAAGUCUGAUGUGAAAGCCCACGGCUCAACCGUGGAGGGUCAUUGGAAACUGGGGAACUUGAAGACAGAAGAGGAGAGCGGAAUUCCACGUGUAGCGGUGAAAUGCGUAGAUAUGUGGAGGAACACCAGUGGCGAAGGCGGCUCUCUGGUCUGUGCUUGACGCUGAGGCGCGAAAGCGUGGGGAGCGAACAGGAUUAGAUACCCUGGUAGUCCACGCCGUAAACGAUGAGUGCUAGGUGUUAGGGGUUUUCCACCCCUUAGUGCUGCAGUUAACGCAAUAAGCACUCCGCCUGGGGGAGUACGGCCGCAAGGCUGAACUCAAAGGAAUUGACGGGGGCCCGCCACAGCGGUGGAGCAUGUGGUUUAAUUCGAAGCAACGCGAGAACUUACCAGGUCUUGACCUCUCGGACAACCAAAAGAUAGGUCUUCCUCCGGGACCGAUGACAGGUGGGCAUGGUUGUCGUCGCUUGGUCUGGGGAUGUUGG
rnacentral:rRNA from 1 species